CACAUCUGGAGGGCCCAUCUGUUUGUGGCUGGGUGGCAUUGCACAGAACUUCCUGCCUGAGGUUGUCUGCUAAACAGACCUGAAUCACAGUUCCAUAAUUACAUGAUGGCAAAGGCUUUGGGAGCUGCUGAACCAUGCAUACUUCAAUUUUAAAGAACACAAGGGGAUUUGAAUUUAAGGGCUCUGACAUGAAGCCCUGUCUUCACUGAUUUUAUGUGCACGUUUCGCCCCCCGGAUCCUUUAAUGAGAUGUUGUCUGCUUUCCCAUCUGGGAGAUGAGCUGAAUGAGCAAAGCCAGCCUGAAUGCCUUAAACUUCUGGGGAAUUUUCUCUCUAUGAAGACAGUGGCAGCUUCACAUCUUCAUGUCAUUGAAAAUGGGACCAGGAAUAUGCCAGUUUAAUUCCUGGUACUGGAAAUACAGGCUCCUGCAGCACUGCACCUGUGGAUGUCUGUGUGCCAGAGGAAGGUGUGAUGCCCCAGGACAUCCAGCUGGGAUCCCCCAGGGAGCUGCUGGCCUGGUACCAGGGGCAGUGCUUACAGAGCCAAAGGUGCACCACUUCUUUUUGACCCUCUUAAAACAGUGGUGCUUUCUACCUUUUCUCAUGGCCCAAGGCAAGAAAUGAGGUGUUGCUUUUCCACAUGAUCCUUGCUCUCUACUCUGCCUGUGCAAUACAAGCUCGUGGAAACAGGGCACAUAUCUGAAGUGUCACAUCUACUGUGCCAGCACAGCCCAACCUUGGCAAAGGGACAGGAAAACACCACCACAAAAAUAGAAACGUGAAUGCAAUUGUUGUGUACAUGGAUCCAGCUCACAAAGACACCAGCUGGAAAGAUUCUGUCCAAAACUGUCCAUGCUAAAUGGAAAGAGGGCCAUCAACCAGAUUAAACAGCUACCAGGGAAUUAUAAGAUUUAAAAGAGAAAGAAAAAAAUAUAGAAAAAAGGAGUAGCAAUGUGCCACAUAACACAAAAAUCUGAAGGAAUUUCAGAGCACCACACCCAAAAACCUCCACCAAUGUGUUUUCACUGUUUGAUCUAGUCUGUCAUCUAUAACCUGUUGCUUUGUCUGGGCAGGUUCUGUUCUGUACAAGCUUCAGACAUCUUCAUCUCUGAAGACAACUUUUUAGAUCCUGCUGAGUCACGAAUACCUCUUCAGGAGCUACUUUCUUCCUCAUUGCUUCCUGUAAAGCAGGUAGGAAAGGCACCUGGUGAAAUGAUCACACAGCUUAUUUCAGGCUGGAAAAACUGUUCAAAUGUAGUAAGAACCCAUGUAAUGAAGUUAUUCCCACUUGCCUUUUGCUGGACUCAAAGGUCCCCUGCCUCAACAUGAGCCUGUGACUUUCCAGAAACUGGUCUGAGCUUUUCAGAAGUGUCUGUGCUGCACCUUCACAGUCAGCCCAAGCAGUACCCUCCAGACAGUUUUUCCUCACAGGUAAACUUAAUCAUCCUGGUGCAAGUUAAACCACUGUACCCUUUAGUUUGGCUGCUCUGUGCAUCCUGAUCAGUGAAUACCCUCUGCACUAAAUGCACAAUGACUGUAAUUGUAUCCAGGACCUUUAAGAAGCAGUAUUUUUUAUGAACCCAUUACAAACCCUGCAUUAAACCAUCAUUUUUUUUGCUUUGACACUUCAGUUUCAGACCAUUUCCUCCCAAAUUGUAAACAUGCAGCUCCAUGAGCAGUGCAACUAAUGAAGCCUGCUUUUCAAUAGAUUUAUAUCUCAUUGGUUGGAUUCCCUGGUGUCCAGGACUAUGCCAGCUCCUUCUCAAGCUUUUAUUGCACUGUCUCCUUUCUGCCCACCCUCUACGCCUUCCCCUUGUGUAGGAACUCUUUGUGCCCAGUAAAUGGUGUGUCAGGCUGUAGUUUUCCCCUUAGCAAGAUCUCUUUCCUCAGUGGAAACUGGGGAUUGAGUAGACUUGAUUUGAUAGCCAUGGGCCUCUCAAGUGCGGAUCAGAUCAGUUAAUAGGUUCAGAAGGUAUCAGGAACAGAUGAGCGUUCACAGUGGAACUUCAA